rnacentral:rRNA from 1 species
ACGAAGAGUUUGAUCCUGGCUCAGGAUGAACGCUAGCGGGAGGCUUAAUACAUGCAAGUCGAGGGGUAACAGGGAGCUUGCUCCGCUGACGACCGGCGCACGGGUGCGUAACGCGUAUAGAACCUACCUUUUACAGAGGGAUAGCCUUUAGAAAUGAAGAUUAAUACCUCAUGGUAUUGGAGAUUGGCAUCAAUCACUAAUUAAAGAUUUAUCGGUAAAAGAUGGCUAUGCGUCCUAUUAGCUAGAUGGUAAGGUAACGGCUUACCAUGGCAACGAUAGAUAGGGGCCCUGAGAGGGGGAUCCCCCACACUGGUACUGAGACACGGACCAGACUCCUACGGGAGGCAGCAGUGAGGAAUAUUGGUCAAUGGAGGCAACUCUGAACCAGCCAUGCCGCGUGCAGGAAGACGGUCCUAUGGAUUGUAAACUGCUUUUAUUUGGGAAUAAACCUGGGUACGUGUACCCAGCUGAAUGUACCAAACGAAUAAGCACCGGCUAACUCCGUGCCAGCAGCCGCGGUAAUACG